GGGGAAGUAGCUUAAUGGAUAGAGCAACGCUCUUCUAAAGCGUAGGUUGCGGGUUCGACCCCCGCCUUCCCUGCCA
rnacentral:tRNA from 1 species